GACUGCGCCGGCGCGGUUCCUGCGCCUCGGGUCUCGUGAUCCCCUCGGUGCGGAGAGCAAAGCCCCGGGGCCCCUGGGCCCUCGGGUCCAGCCCCGCGUCCUACCAUGCAUCGCCCUCUGAGCGCUCUCCUCUUCCGUCUUGGUCCCGCCACGAAGUGUGGCCCGACGCCAGGGGUAAAACAGCAGGAAAAAAGCCCACCUGGAAGAUGCCUCCUCCUGUCUCAUUGGCCAGAGUAGUGUCAGUUGCUCACAUCUAAGCCAGUCAUUGGGCAAGGAGGCCCCAUGAUGGAGUGGAAGAGGUACAGCAUGUAAUGAGAGUGCAGAUCCCUGAGUCAUGGCUUGGAGAAGUUUACUUUAUAUGAAAACAGAGAUGUUCUCCUCUGGCAUAGCAGAAAGCAAGUUGCUUUGGAAAAAUAUGAAAGCAUAGAGCACUUCACAAAUCCAUAUUUUUUUCUGCCACCGUUCAAGAUAUUUUGCGAUGAGUUUCGUGCUUAAAUGGCAGAAAGAAUGAAGAGAGUGGGGACUGUUUUGGUUGCCGCUGUUCACGUUUGCCUGUUAAUCUAAUUACCAAGGGAUUUGGACAAGAAAAGGUUUAAAUUCAUUUGAAAGAAGAGUGUGUGAGAAGUCAGAGCAGCUAAAGCCCCCUCUGGGGCUCCCAGAGCUGUUUUCUGGAGUGAGCAUGGUUGGAGCUGAAGGAAGGCCUGCUCUGUGCAAGAAGUUUAACUCUUCCUGGGAUGAAGCAACUCCUUCUGAGGCCCUUUCUCGGGACACAAAACAAACACAUUCCCUCCUACAUACGUGGAUUCUGACCAGUUGAGCAUUUGUGAGAAGCCAUUAGGACUGAAGGCCAAAAUGAUCAUGGUGCUCGCUUUGUGCAACCCAUCACAGAUAUGGAGAAGUCACUGAGACCAGUCAGGGCAUGUAGCCUCGUGAGCAGCGUGUGGAGGCUCGUCCUGGUUGCUACUAAUGGAUCAUCUCCUUAUACAAUUGUUAGAAAACCUGCAGCUGACCAGAAACCUGCAUAAAAAAUACCGGAGAAAUAGAGAAGGAUCCAGAAGGCUGAGGAGGCUGUGAAUGUUUAAUGUCCCAGGAAACUGGCUGCCAGGACACUGCCAGCAACUUGGGAACGAGUCGACUGUGGCUCAGGAAAAUGGGCCUGGCCUGGACAGCCCCGACCUGGCAACAGCUUGUGGCGAGUAAAUCCUCUCACUGAAGGUUUUGCUUAAUCUGAAUAAAUUCAAUUUCAAAAUCUGCCCUUGAUCUAAGCCCCUUAAGCUUCUGGGGAGGACUGGGGGCCUUCAGGGUCAAUGCCAAUAACAAAAGAUAGGAAAAAAAUCCACCUUUCCUCAUAUCUCAUUGCUGCAUUCUAUAAGCUGUUAACUCACUGCAGAAAAUGUUCCUUUCAAUAAAGUUGUCUUUGGAGAACCCUCCUCCCUUUGUUACGGAACGAGGCUGGAACGCUGGCGGAAAAACCAAGCCGCACUCGGAGAUCUUGGUGGAUCGGAGAUUUAUUUAACACCGGCGGGCUCAGAGGAGACCGUUUCUCCAAAGCUCUGAGCUCCGAAUGAAGGGGGGAAGUGUAAUUUAUAGUUGUCAGCUUCCCUAUCUGUGGUGGGUUUUCGCGCGCGUGGCAAAUAGGGCAAGAAGAACCCGGAAGAGGGGUCUCCAAGCUAGAGACCAGAGCUUGUUUUAGCCCCGUUGGCCAUCUUAUGGUGUAAAACUUUAUUCAUUUUCCCAACGCCUUGAUUUUAAAGAUGACAUUCAGUGCUUUAUUUUUGGAUGUUCAGCAUGUCUUGUAGAAGGAAUACUGAACAGAAUGUGAGGAAGCCUGGGUUAUAACACUGAACGUGCCACUGUAGGCAGUGGGAUUUUGGCAGAGCAACUGGUCUGGACUUCAGUGUUACCAUCAGGGCCCUGAGGUGGUUGGGCUAGACAUUUUCCUUCUAACUGUACUCUUUUCAGUACUUGUCCUUAGAAGUGUAUUCCCUGGAGGGGGGAUAGGGGUGUGGAAUGAUUACAAUCAAACAAGCUUGGUAAAGACCACAUCCUGCUUGGAGAUUCACAGUGUCCAUUAGCAUAUUAAAGGCUCUGAGAGGUCCUGUAGUAAAGAAACUUCACAAAAAUACAGUACGUUGAGUUCAAGCCUCACGUUGGGAGCUAACAGCUUGGAGCCUGCUUGGGAUUCUCUCUCUUCCUCUCUCUCUGCCCGUCUCCCUGCAAAAUACAUAAAUAAACUUAAAAAAACUAUUUUCAACUCAGUGUUUCCCAAACUUCCUUACUAAACCACAAAGUCCUUUGUCUGGUAAUUGCUUUUGUGGGACAAGAGUCCCACUCUGA